CCUCCUUAUCCUCAUCAUUAUAACUGGCUUUAUCGAGCUCUUUUUCUGUCAUUUGCAUCUUAUCCACUUUCCUUUUCCUAUUUUUUUGGUAUUGUUGAUAUCUUUUCAACCUGCUGUACUUAUUCCUUAAUUUUAGCCCUAUUUCACCCUUACACCUUUUUCCUUCAAGGAUGUCCAUCCCAUCAUCAACUUUAACUUUCAUUUUAUUUCUUAGUUACUAGUUCUAUUACUUCGGGAAUUCUAACCUUACGAUUUUCUCUUACCAGCA
rnacentral:misc_RNA from 1 species